AGGAGCAACAACCGCAGUGGCGGGGCCAGCUCUGGAGCCCUGGAUUCAGCUCCGGCAGGAACUCCGUCUGCAGGGCCUGGAGGCUCCGGGGCGGG
rnacentral:pre_miRNA from 1 species